rnacentral:rRNA from 1 species
GAUGAACGCUGGCGGCGUGCCUAAUACAUGCAAGUCGAGCGAACAGACGAUGAGCUUGCUCCUCUGACGUUAGCGUCUUACGUGUGAGUAACACGUGGUUAACCUACCUAUAAGACUUGUAUAACUUCGUGAAACCGUUGCUAAUACCGUAUAAUAUAUUGAACCUCAUUGUUCAAUAUUGAAAUACGGUUUUGCUUUCACUUAUAUAUGGAUCCUCGCCGCAUUAGCUAGUUGGUAAGGUAACGGCUUACCAAGGCAACGAUGAGUAGCCGACCUGAGAGGGUGAUCGGCAAAACUGGAAGUGAGACACGGUACAGACUCGUACGGGAGGCAGCAGUAGGGAAUAUUCCGCAAUGGGCGAAAGCUUGACGGAGCAACGCCGCGUGAGUGAUGAAGGUCUUCGGAUCGUAAAACUAUGUUAUUAGGGAAGAACAAAUGUGUAAGUAACUAUGCACGUCUUGACGGUACCUAAUCAGAAAGCCACGGCUAACUACGUG